AUACGGAGGGUGCAAGCGUUAUCCGGAAUCAUUGGGUUUAAAGGGUCCGUAGGCGGACUAUUAAGUCAGAGGUGAAAUCCCACAGCUCAACUGUGGAACUGCCUUUGAUACUGGUAGUCUUGAGUUAUAUGGAAGUAGAUAGAAUGUGUAGUGUAGCGGUGAAAUGCAUAGAUAUUACACAGAAUACCGAUUGCGAAGGCAGUCUACUACGUAUAUACUGACGCUAAGGGACGAAAGCGUGCGUAGCAAACAGGAUUAGAAACCCUAGUAGUCC
rnacentral:rRNA from 1 species